rnacentral:misc_RNA from 1 species
GGCCAGAUUGAGCUUCGGCUCUCUGGUC